UCUGGGUUCAAAAAUGUGGUCUGCCACUACCUCUGUGACCUUGGACAAAUUGUAAUGCUUGUCCUGCCUCUCCUGAGCCGUCUAAGGAUGGGAUGGUAAUAGUACUAAACGAGCAAGUGACUUGAACAGUGCUGGCAAGUAGGAAGCAAUAAGGGAACGCUAGCUGUUAUUGUCUCUGGCUCCAUAAAUUGUCACUUUCCUCAUUCUCAGAAAAUUAGGUCAUAUUAAGCAUUACUAACUACAAAGGCUUUGACUUCAAGAGAUGAGGAUGAAAACAUCACUUAGAUUCCCUAGGAACAAGCUGGAUGAAAAGGAAGCAGCUCUGAGAAUAGGGAGAAGGAAAAAUCCAAACAGAAGCUUCCGUGUAACUGGCUCACGCGAUCCAGGCAGGACAGAGAACACCUGCAAGUAAGAGAAAACGAAGUCUUUGUGGACGUUGAAAAAUAAGCCACUCAAGGCCAUUUUAGCACAAGACCAAUCACAAAUAAAGCACAAGUGUGCAGAAAGGGUUU